CUCCAGUCCCAGGUUAUGUUUAAUGACGGUAUACAGUGACGUAACAUAACCUGUUACCAUAAAGUAAUCUUGCUCCCAUUUUAGGCCUUCUAUACUCUGUAAUAGAUCUCCGCUGUCUUUUAAGUACGACCUCGCAUUUUUAACAAAGGGUUGUAGUAUGACAUCUAUAUACUGGGAUAGAUUGCAUGUUAAAGAUCCUAUCCCAGAGAUGAUAGGUCUACCUGGAGGAUUUAAGAGACUCUUGUGUAUUUUUGGCAACUGGUAAAAUACCGUUUUUUUAGG